ensembl:snRNA U6 U6 spliceosomal RNA
UUGCUCACUUCAGCAGCACAUAUACUAAAAUGGCACGAUAGGUAAAAGAUUAGCAUGGCCCCUAUGCAAAGACAGCAUACAAAUUUAUAAUCCUUCAUUUUUUUUU